CAGUAUAUAUACAAACAAACACAUAAGUAUUGUUUUAGUAUUUUUGUAUUUGUUUUACUUAUGUGAUGGUAAAGUAAGUAAGACUGAGCUGCUUUGCAUUGUCACAGCGUUAGCUGUUUUUAUUAUAAACAAUAUAGGUUUAUUUGGGAACAUUCUUGCCAGAAUGAGAUGUUUUUGUUUUUAAAACUUUAUUUGAUGCAGAAAUGAUCCCAUAGACACUAACGUUACUGCUUUCUGGCUUGAGGCCAGUUGGUUUUAGGCACCCUUGGUGGAAAAGGGGUGUCUCUGGCCUGGAUCAGUUUAAAUCUAAUGUACUUCUACAAGUCUCAGCUGUGAGCAAGAAAAAUUGCCCAGGGGAGAGAGAGAAAGCCCUUGAGGGUUUGUUAGAGGCCACAUGUUAUAUGAGUGGAUAAAUGGAGUGGUGUGUUUCUAAUCCAUGAGUCAAACAUCAGUCUGCUGAAUAAUGCAUUUAGAUAUGCUAUAAGAACGAAAAAAAGAAAGAGGCUGAACAGAAGAGAAAAGCAACAACAAAUGAGACCCAAAAAUAUGUUUAUCGUUUGUAACAUGCUUCGAAUUAUCUAGCCUGAUGAAUACUACAUAAACAUCCUCUUAUCAUAUGAACAGAAGAGCCCUUAUUUUCAACGUUCUUACAGAGUCAUUGUUUACUUAGCCUUAAUGACUACAGUCAUGUCCAACACACCCCUCCAUUCCUUGAAUCACAAACUAGAUGCCCUUGAAACAAAGAGAUACACAUUCCAGAAUAAUAUACCCGUGAGUAAUCACAAAAAUUUUGCCAUGGGCUCAUGGACUCCCUGAUGUUUCAGUGCAUUAUGGGGGUUCAACAGCAUCAGAGGUUGUUAUGAGAGUCAGAGCAGAACAAAUAGCCUUCCUAAUGCUAAAGUUAGAAAUACAAUGUGUUUUUCACAUUAAAUAUAUAUAUAUAUGUAUUUUUCCUCAUCUCUUUUUAGCAAAGUGGAGACCAUCAGUGGAGCCAAGAGAGGACCUGGGUGAGGGGGAAUUGGAUUUUGCAGUUGCCGGGCCCUCAUGCUUUUUGAUGCCAAGAAAAGCAACCCAGCUGAACAAAUCAGGAACAUGCCCCCAAAGCUGCAGGGUUCCCCACGGAGACAACCUUUACGCCGCUGAAGUCAGAGGUCGUCCGUUCCAGAGGGAAACAGUGGCGACACCCCAGUGCCUGAGGAGACAGAGGCGGUCAGUAGACUAAUGGGGUCUGACUUCAUCAUUAAGAAGUUAUGAGGACUUGCAUGACGAUGGUGUGAAGAUGGCUCUAAUAGAAUCCAUCUGUGGAGUCCGCCAGGACUAUAAAGAGCUCUAAUAAGAUCAGCCUUGGGAUGAGACUGUUGUUAUCUCAACGGCUGCAAUUUUCCCCCUGCAGACACCUUCAUCAGCCACACCAUCAUGAAGGAAGAUCUGUGUUUUCUUUUGUUGCUUGUUCUGUAGUUUUCUCAUGCUACUUUUGAUUCUCGCUUUCUUUCACCUUAUUUAUCCACUCCUUUCUCUCUUUGUUUGGGAGUAUUUGAGUGGUUCUCUAUCUUGUAACGAUGCCUCCAAAUGUUUCUAAUAAAACUAGUUUCAGGGUGGAGUAUUGUUGGCA
ensembl:lncRNA